rnacentral:pre_miRNA from 1 species
AGUGGGAUAGUUGAGUCAAAUUGUGGCUCCAUUCCUAGUUUUUUGAGGAAUCUCCAUACUGCUUUCCAGACUGGUUGAACCAAUUUGCAGUCUCACCAGCAAU